rnacentral:rRNA from 1 species
CCUACGGGUGGCAGCAGUGGGGAAUAUUGCACAAUGGGGGAAACUCUGAUGCAGCAACGCCGCGUGAGUGAUGAAGUAUUUCGGUAUGUAAAGCUCUAUCAGCAGGGAAGAAGAUGACGGUACCUGUUUCAGAAGCCCCGGAUAACUACGUGCCAGCAGACGCGGUAAUACGUAGGGGGCAAGCGUUAUCCGGAUUUACUGGGUGUAAAGGGAGCGCAGACGGUAGUGCAAGUCAGUAGUGAAAGCCCGGGGCCCAACCCCGGAACUGCACUGGAAACUGUGCGGCUAGAGUACUGGAGGGGCAGGCGGAAUUCCUAGUGUAGCGGUGAAAUGCGUAGAUAUUAGGAGGAACACCAGUGGCGAAGGCAGCGUGCCGUGCCGCCACUGACGCUGAGGCACGAAAGCGCGGGGAUCGAACAGGAUUAGAUACCCCAGUAGUC